GUGGGGAAUAUUGGACAAUGGGCGAAAGCCUGAUCCAGCCAUGCCGCGUGUGUGAAGAAGGUCUUCGGAUUGUAAAGCACUUUAAGUUGGGAGGAAGGGUAUUCACCUAAUACGUGAGUAUUUUGACGUUACCGACAGAAUAAGCACCGGCUAACUUCGUUCCAGCAGCCGCGGUAAUACGAAGGGUGCAAGCGUUAAUCGGAAUUACUGGGCGUAAAGCGCGCGUAGGUGGUUCGUUAAGUUGGAUGUGAAAGCCCCGGGCUCAACCUGGGAACUGCAUCCAAAACUGGCGAGCUAGGGUACGGUAGAGGGUGGUGGAAUUUCCUGUGUAGCGGUGAAAUGCGUAGAUAUAGGAAGGAACACCAGUGGCGAAGGCGGCCAUCUGGUCCGGUACUGACGCUGAGGCGCGAAAGCGUGGGGAGCAA
rnacentral:rRNA from 1 species